rnacentral:tRNA from 1 species
GGGGUCAUGACUCAAUAGGUAGAGUGCUUGCUUAGCAAGCAUGGAGCAUGAGUUCAAAUCCUAGUACCACCC